CUCACCACGCCCACUGGGAAAUCACGCGUCUGCUGGUAGCGCGAAGCUGUAAACGAGCAAGUCCUGUUGCUUCAGCUGGACCUAACGGCAAGUGAAACCUCACAACUGAUUGUCAUUAUACACGCCAUUUGUUCCCCUUGUAACGUCGCAUCUUAAUGUGAUAUAAAUCAAGCUACCGUCUGUGCUGAAGAAUACUAGUGGACAUGAAGCCUAAGGCACACUCUGGUACGCUCCUGCGGCCGUGUGCCGUAAGCCAUACAGCAUACACAUACGCCCACAGGCUCCGGUCUCACCCACAGCCUAAGAGGACGGUUGUUAAUGAUGUCGCUCUGUUUCGUGUGUGGUGUCCGUCACUGGAUCUUAUUGGAUAAGUUCCUCAUUUUAAAAUGCAGCAGAUAAGACUGUGUGUGUGUGUGUGUGUGUGUGUGUGUGU
ensembl:lncRNA